rnacentral:rRNA from 1 species
UACGUAGGGACCGAGCGUUGUCCGGAAUCAUUGGGCGUAAAGAGCGUGUAGGCGGCCAGGUAGGUCCGCUGUGAAAACUCGAGGCUCAACCUCGAGAUGUCGGCGGAAACCAUCUGGCUAGAGUCCGGAAGAGGAAAGUGGAAUUCCCGGUGUAGCGGUGAAAUGCGCAGAUAUCGGGAAGAACACCAGUGGCGAAGGCGGCUCACUGGUCCGGUACUGACGCUGAGGUGCGAAAGCGUGGGGAGCAAACAGG